rnacentral:rRNA from 1 species
AGAGUUUGAUCCUGGCUCAGGAUGAACGCUGGCGGCGUGCCUAAUACAUGCAAGUCGAGCGGAAAGGUCCCUCCAGGCUAUUUAAGCGAAAGUUUGAAUGGUGUGGUGGGAUACUCGAGCGGCGGACGGCUGAGUAACACGUAGGAACGUACCCCAAACUGAGGGAUAAGCACCAGAAAUGGUGUCUAAUACCGCAUGUGGUCUUCGGAUUAAAGCUUUAUGCGGUUUGGGAACGGCCUGCGCAUGAUUAGCUUGUUGGUAAGGUAAUGGCUUACCAAGGCUAUGAUCAUUAGCUGGUCUGAGAGGAUGAUCAGCCAGACUGGGACUGAGAACGGCCCAGACUCCUACGGGAGGCAGCAGUAGGGAAUUUUCCACAAUGGGCGAAAGCCUGAUGGAGCAACGCCGCGUGCAGGAUGAAUGCCUUCGGGUUGUAAACUGCUUUUAUAUGUGACGAUUUUGACGGUAGCAUAUGAAUAAGGAUCGGCUAACUCCGUGCCAGCAGCCGCGGUCAUACGGAGGAUCCAAGCGUUAUCCGGAAUUACUGGGCGUAAAGAGUUGCGUAGGUGGCACCGUAAGUUGAUAGUGAAAGCGUUCGGCUCAACCGAAUACACAUUAUCAAAACUGCGGAGCUAGAGGACGAGAGAGGUAAUUGGAAUUCCUAAUGUAGGGAAAAUCCGUUGAUAUUAGGAGGAACACCGAUGGCGUAGGCAGAUUACUGGCUCGUUCCUGACACUAAGGCACGAAAGCGUGGGGAGCAAACAGGAUUAGAUACCCCCGUAGUCC